rnacentral:rRNA from 1 species
AUACGGAUGGUGCGAGCGUUGUUCGGAAUUACUGGGCGUAAAGGGCGCGUAGGCGGCGAUGCAAGUCAAAUGUGAAAGUCCUCGGCUUAACCGGGGAAGUGCGUCUGAAACUGCAUUGCUUGAGUAUGGGAGAGGAAAGUGGAAUUCCCGGUGUAGAGGUGAAAUUCGUAGAGAUCGGGAGGAAUACCGGUGGCGAAGGCGACUUUCUGGACCAAUACUGACGCUGAGGCGCGAAAGCGUGGGGAGCAAACAGGAUUAGAAACCCCAGUAGUCC